rnacentral:rRNA from 1 species
UUUUUUCCUGUAGCAAUACAGGGAAACGUCUAGCGGCGAACGGGUGCUUAACACGUGGGCAAUCUGCCGAGAAGUGGGGGAUAGCUCGCCGAAAGGCGAAUUAAUACCGCAUGUGAUUAGAGUGGACAUCCAUUCAAAAUCAAAGUCGGGGCAACCUGACGCUUCUUGAGGAGCCCGCGGCCUAUCAGCUAGUUGGUGAGGUAACGGCCCACCAAGGCUUUGACGGGUAGCUGGUCUGAGAGGACGACCAGCCACACUGGGACUGAGACACGGCCCAGACACCUACGGGUGGCAGCAGUCGAGAAUUUUUCUCAAUGGGGGAAACCCUGAAGGAGCGACGCCGCGUGGAGGAUGAAGGUCUUCGGGUUGUAAACUCCUGUCAUUUGGGAACAAUGCGUAAAUAUUAACUGUAUUUGCGUUGAUAGUACCAGAAGAGGAAGAGACGGCUAACUCUGUGCCAGCAGCCGCGGUAAUACAGAGGUCUCAAGCGUUGUUCGGAUUCAUUGGGCGUAAAGGGUGCGUAGGCGGCGCGGUAAGUCGGGUGUGAAAUCUCGGGGCUUAACUCCGAAACUGCAUUCGAUACUGCCGUGCUUGAGGACUGGAGAGGAGACUGGAAUUUACGGUGUAGCGGUGAAAUGCGUAGAUAUCGUAAGGAAGACCAGUGGCGAAGGCGGGUCUCUGGACAGUUCCUGACGCUGAGGCACGAAGGCCAGGGGAGCAAACGGGAUUAGAUACCCCGGUAGUCCUGGCAGUAAACGGUGCACGUUUGGUGUGGGAGGAUUCGACCCCUUCUGCGCCGGAGCUAACGCGUUAAACGUGCCGCCUGGGGAGUACGGUCGCAAGAUUAAAACUC